GACGAACGCUGGCGGCGUGCUUAACACAUGCAAGUCGAACGGAAACGCCCUGCUUGUGUGGGGUGCUCGAGUGGCGAACGGGUGAGUAACACGUGAGUAACCUGCCCUUGACUUUGGGAUAACGUCAGGAAACUGGGGCUAAUAUCGGAUAGGAGCUCCUGCUCGAGGGAGGGGGUUGGAAAGUUUAGGCUGGCGGGGAUGGAGUCGGGGCUUACGGGCUUGUUGGUUGGGGGGUGGCUUACCAAGGCUUUGACGGGUAGGCGGCAUGGGUGGGUGACCGGCGACAUUGGGACUACGAUACGGCGCAGACUCCUACGGGAGGCAGCAGGGGGGAAUAUUGCACAAUGGGCGGAAGCGUGAUGAGGCAGCGCCGCGUGCGGGAUGACGGCCUUCGGGUUGUGAACCGCUUUCGCCUGUGACGAAGCGUGAGUGACGGUAAUGGGUAAAGAAGCACCGGCUAACUACGUG
rnacentral:rRNA from 1 species